GGAAAUUAACCAAUUUUAAAGUUUCCGAACGUGGUCGAGAGAUAUUUGUAUAAAUACAAUGGACUAUUGCUAUGUUCAGUAUUGAAUAACCUGUUUCUACCAAAAGACGAACAGUAUAACUCAACAUAGCCAUGCGUUUCUCCGUAGCUGUAGCCAUUUUAGCCAUUGUUGCAACCAUCUUGUUGACUACAUGCGAAGCUAGAAGUCCUGUUGCUAGGCGUAUUAAUGUGUGUGAGUUAAGAGCAGAAGGGGGUAUGUGUCGAGCUUAUAUGCCCAGAUAUUAUUACAACAAAUCAACAGGGAAAUGUACCAGAUUUAUCUACGGUGGUUGUGGUGGAAACGGGAACAACUUUGAGACCAAAUCUGAAUGCAAUCGUGUUUGUCCAUGAAAGGAUAACCGCAUCCAGUUAACCCACUGACAGAAUAAAAAUGAUUGAUAAAUACAAUGUCUCAGUUAACCCACAAAAUGACAAAAUAAAAAUGUUUUAACACAACAAAA